CCUACGGGAGGCAGCAGUGAGGAAUAUUGGUCAAUGGCCGGAAGGCUGAACCAGCCAAGUCGCGUGAGGGAUGACUGCCCUAUGGGUUGUAAACUUCUUUUAUAAGGGAAGAAAAAAUGCUACGUGUAGCAUGAUGCCUGUACCUUAUGAAUAAGCAUCGGCUAACUCCGUGCCAGCAGCCGCGGUAAUACGGAGGAUGCGAGCGUUAUCCGGAUUUAUUGGGUUUAAAGGGUGCGUAGGGGGUUUUUUAAGUAAGUGGUUAACCGUCGGGGUUCCACGUUGAAUUGCAAUUAAUACUGUAAGACUCGAGUACAGUCGAGGUAGGCGGAAUUCGUGGAGUAGCGGUGAAAUGCUUAGAUAUAACGAAGAACUCCGAUAGCGAAGGCAGCUUACCAGACUGCGACUGACGCUGAAGCACGAGAGCGUGGGUAGCGAACAGGAUUAGAUACCCGAGUAGUC
rnacentral:rRNA from 1 species